rfam:Equus caballus chromosome 4, whole genome shotgun sequence.
CGAAGUUUCCCUCAGGAUAGCUGGCACUCUCACAUGUGAACCCAGGCAGUUUUAUCCAGUACAACGAAUGAUUAGAGGUCUUGGCGCCAAAACGAUCUCAAUCUAUUCCCAAUGGGUAAGAAGCCCACUGGCAUGGAGCUGGGCAUGGAACACAAGGGCCUAGUGGGCCACUUUUGGUAAGUAGAAGUGGCACUGCACGAUGAACUGAACACCAGGUUAGGCAUUGAUAACUUGAUAACUAUAGUUUUAUAAUAGACUUCAAGUCUCAGUAG